GUGCUCACUUUGGAAGCACAUAUACUAAAAUUGAAACAACACAAAGAUUAAUGUGGCUCCUAUACAAGGGUGACAUGCAAAUUCUUGAAGCAGUCCAUACUUCU
ensembl:snRNA U6 U6 spliceosomal RNA